AGAGUUUGAUCAUGGCUCAGAACGAACGCUGGCGGCAGGCUUAACACAUGCAAGUCGAGCGCACUCUUCGGAGUGAGCGGCGGACGGGUUAGUAACGCGUGGGAACGUGCCCUUCUCUAAGGAAUAGCCACUGGAAACGGUGAGUAAUACCUUAUACGCCCUUCGGGGGAAAGAUUUAUCGGAGAAGGAUCGGCCCGCGUUAGAUUAGAUAGUUGGUGGGGUAAUGGCCUACCAAGUCUACGAUCUAUAGCUGGUUUUAGAGGAUGAUCAGCAACACUGGGACUGAGACACGGCCCAGACUCCUACGGGAGGCAGCAGUGGGGAAUCUUGGACAAUGGGCGCAAGCCUGAUCCAGCCAUGCCGCGUGAGUGAUGAAGGCCUUAGGGUCGUAAAGCUCUUUCGCCAGAGAUGAUAAUGACAGUAUCUGGUAAAGAAACCCCGGCUAACUCCGUGCCAGCAGCCGCGGUAAUACGGAGGGGGUUAGCGUUGUUCGGAAUUACUGGGCGUAAAGCGCACGUAGGCGGAUCAGAAAGUAUAGGGUGAAAGCCCAGGGCUCAACCCUGGAACUGCCUUGUAAACUCCUGGUCUUGAGUUCGAGAGAGGUGAGUGGAAUUCCGAGUGUAGAGGUGAAAUUCGUAGAUAUUCGGAGGAACACCAGUGGCGAAGGCGGCUCACUGGCUCGAUACUGACGCUGAGGUGCGAAAGUGUGGGGAGCAAACAGGAUUAGAUACCCUGGUAGUCCACACCGUAAACGAUGAAUGCCAGACGUCAGCAAGCAUGCUUGUUGGUGUCACACCUAACGGAUUAAGCAUUCCGCCUGGGGAGUACGGUCGCAAGAUUAAAACUCAAAGGAAUUGACGGG
rnacentral:rRNA from 1 species